rnacentral:rRNA from 1 species
AUACGGAGGAUGCGAGCGUUAUCCGGAUUUAUUGGGUUUAAAGGGAGCGUAGGCGGGAGCUUAAGUCAGCGGUUAAAUGGUGCGGCUCAACCGUGCCCUGCCGUUGAAACUGGGCUUCUUGAGAGUGCAAGAGGCGGAUGGAAUUCAUGGUGUAGCGGUGAAAUGCUUAGAUAUCAUGAAGAACUCCGAUUGCGAAGGCAGUCCGCUGGGGCACGUCUGACGCUUAUGCUCGAAGGUGCGGGAAUCAAACAGGAUUAGAUACCCUGGUAGUCCGCACGGUAAACGAUGAUUACCCGCUGUCGGCGGCAGACAGUCGGCGGCCAAGCGAAAGCGAUAAGUAAUCCACCUGGGGAGUACGCCGGCAACGGUGAAACUCAAAGGAAUUGACGGGG